rnacentral:rRNA from 1 species
GUGCAGCAGGCGAGAAUACUUCACAAUGUGCGAAAGCACGAUGAGGGAAUCCCAAGUGCUUGCACGUAAGUGUAAGCUGUUUCUCUGUACUAAAACGCAGAGAGAGUAAGGGCUGGGUAAGACGGGUGCCAGCCGCCGCGGUAAUACCUGCAGCUCGAGUGGUGACCGUUAUUAUUGGGCCUAAAACGUCCGUAGCCGGUUUAAUAAAUGCCUGGGUAAAUCGGACCGCUUAACGGUUCGAAUUCCGGGUAGACUGUUAAACUUGAGACCGGGAGAAGUUAGAGGUACUCC